rnacentral:lncRNA from 9 species
UGGAUCUUGGGGUGUCUGUGUGGGCUUCCUGUACGUCCACAUUUGGGGGGUGGAGUUGUUUGCCCUCUAAGGUCAAGAAUGACUCUUCCCCCAGAAAGCCCUGCCGCGGGAGGGGUGGGAAGACAGCUGCUGGGCCUUCUCCCCCCCAGGGUUCUGUCCACCUUCUGCAGGAGCUCAGCUGAGUUAAAAAUAGCCCCGGGGCCUCUGGAAGCGGAAGGGGUAGAGGCGCCCGCAGGCCGGGGGAGGGAGGAGGACGGGAGGCACCCCCGGUCCAGCAGGCAGCGGGCGGUCCCCCGGGCCCACCCAGCACUCCAAGGCCAGCCAGCUUGGCUCCAGCAGGGCGGGCCCCACAUCCGCCUGCCCCACCUGCAAGCGUCAGGGACCCCGACCCCGCGGCUCCUCCGGCCGCUCUUGAGAAAGGCAGAGGGCCUGGGGCAGCCAGCCUGGCCAAGCCUCGGUCCCCAGAGGACAGCAAGCGGAUCAGACAAGGCCCUGCCCUCACGGAGCGCGGGGAAGAGGCCAAGGACACCAGAAAGCUCAGGCGUCAGGCCAAGGGAGGCCUGUCUCGGCAGGGUCCUCUCCGAGAACAAGAGCGGACCGCUCUCUUAGCGGGCUGGGGGCGAGCCCACAGGGUGAGAACCACCAGUGUGUGGGAGCGGGAAAGGUAUCCGAGCUGAGGGAAUGGCAGAUGCAAAGGCCCUGGAGCAGAAGAACCACGGUGUCUCGCUGCAGUCUCUCUCACCUCAAGCAGGUGUGUGGGGUGGGUACCACCUGUCAGCAGGUGCGGCUCUGGGGAUGGCGGUGAGGGAGGCAGGCUGAGGCCAUCUGGGCAGGCUGGCAGAUGGCUGUGGGACGCCCCAGGCACCCGGGUGGGCGGAAGGUUGUGGUCUACCUCACUUCAGGCUGCACUGACCUGGACGGUGAGCUGUGGGCAUCUGUGGGAGGGAGCGUCACCAGCUGGCGGGGGGCGGGGGGGGCUGGCUUCAUCCUGGAUGGGGAGGGGCCAUCGGGGCUGUCCCACCUGGGCAGGACUGGAAGUCACCUUGCACCAUCUUGAUCGGGGCCCCAAGGGCCAGAGAACAGACUCUAGCAUCCCAACCCUCAGCUGAGGUGGAGAGAGAGGACUGGACAGACCAACGGGCUCUGAGAUCGCAGCUGUCCGGAAAAGCCUGGACCAGGCACAGAUUGCAGGAGGCCCCGGGCCCAGGCGUCCCAAGGAUGGGGGCCCCGCCUGGGCCCCUGCCCAAGUGACCUGCCCAGAUCGACCACCCCUCUGCCACAAGACUACUCCUGGGGGCCGUGCUGGGGCCCCAGGGGUCAUGGGCACCCAAGCCAGCCCUUCUCCUUUGGGGCCUCCCCUCCCCCAUAUGGCACCCGCAGCCCUGGCCUCGCCCCACAAAGCUGCGAGUCCCUAGCGUCCACAGCGCCUGGCUUCCUGUCUGUGACCAGGCUCCUACCACCCUGCUGUCCAGCCACCUCCCCCAGCCUCUCCUGUGUCUGCUCCACCCAGGGCCUGUCAGCUCUCACCCGAUAACCUGUCUGAGUCACUCCAUGACUGUCAUUCUGUCUCCUCUUCGCAAGUCGGCCUCGGCACCUCACGGCCCGUGGACAAACCUGGAAGCCCUUGCCUGGCCGUCGUUGGAGCCACGUGGCCCCAGGAGCGCCCGGGCUCAGCCCAGCCAAGACGUCCCCGAGCCUGGCUCAAGCUGCACACCGCCCACCUCCGCGUCCCCACACUCCCCCCCACCCCACCCCCGAGGGUGUCUUGCCCUGAGACCUGGGUGGGACCUCUCGUGUUCAGUGUCCAGAACUGGGCCUGGCUCACUGGGGAGAGAGCAAGGCGAACGCACGCAGACACACAGGCCUGACAAAGGCUCACAGCUGUUGACAGAAAGAGCCCGGGACACACCUAGAGGCGGCAGGAGAGACUUCACGCAGGCCCCUGCAGUGGGGAGAGACCCCACAAGGACUCCAGGGUUUAAAGGGAGAGCAGGAGUCUCCCGGUGGCUCAGCCAGUUAAGCAUCUGAGGCUGUCACUGCUGUGGCACAGUUUCGAUCCCUGGCUCAGAACUUCUUCAUGCCUCGAGUGCGGCCAAACAAUAAAUAAAUAAAGGGAUGACGUUUUCGUUGUGGCACAGUAGAAACAAAUCCGACCGGUACCGGUGAGGAGGCGGUUUGGUCCCUGGCCCUGCUCAGGGGGCUAAGGAUCCAGCGUUGCCGUGAGCUGUGGCGUAGGGUGCUGCUGGGGCCAUGGCUGUGGCUGGCACCCAAAGCUCUGAUUUGACCCCUAGCCUGGGAACCUCCAUAUGCCACAGGCCUACAAAGCAAAAAAAAAAAAAAAAACAAGACAAAAACAAAAACAAAAAAAAUAAAGAGGGAGCAGACAAGAAGAGGGCUGUAGGAAGAUGGGGAAUUAGAGAAGGCUGAGCAGAACGAGGAAUCGUUUGCUGGGGCAAAGCCCGUCUUGCGGUGGGCAGCACUGCAUCUUCGUGAGCAAAGG